GCAGACUUGAAUAGAACUAAAAGGAAGAGGAAGGGCAAAUUUGUUGGCUGCUUGAGCUGGGAUAUUCAUCUUUCUCCUGACCCUGGACAUCAGAACUCCUGAUUCUCAAGCCUUUGGGUUUGGACUGGGGGCACCAGCUUUCCUGGGCCUCCAGCUUGCAGAUGGCAUAUCAUGGAACUUCUUAGCCUCCAAAUUCAUAACUCUAAUACACCAGUACAAUGGAAAGAUUCCUAAAUUCAAAAGCCAGAAGGCUGGGUUCCUGUUCCCAUCGUGCCUUUUACCUUCUGUGUGGUCCUGAUGAAGACACUUCAUGCUCCACUAUUUACUUACCUCUGAAAUGAAGGGCUGACCCAGAUCAGUUGUUCUCUGAUCUGCUUCGAGGGACUCAGAGGCUGUGGAGCAACAGAUUUGGGAAUGAGGAUUCAUUCCCUGGAAGAGUCAGAGCGCUCGUAGACACAUUCUGCUGGGUUGCACGAGCUCCUCCCCUGGGAAAUCCACUAAGACUAGAGGAAAGAAUUGCUGGGAGGAUUCAGAGGCUGAAGAGUGGACAGAGGGCUUUAAUUGAGAAAAAGAAGCAGAAAAUUGAGGAAGAUGUGAGGCGUCAAUGCCAGCAGACAACAUGUGACAGGUGCUAGCCACAUGGAUCACACUAAAUUUCUGUCAUUUAUAUAGAUAAAAAAGAAUUUCCAAAGAGCUCCUCCAUAAUUCAGCAUUAGCCAGCUUUAAAUCACCACCUUUCUUUACCUUUUCAAAGCACGUUUAUCUAGCUAGCUUUCAUUUUCAGAGUGGCCAAUUCAGGUGAGGAUUCUCAAUCCUGUUCUGCAGCUGAGGAACUCAUGCUCAAAAGGGCUAAGAGUUUAUUCUCCUACGUCCAAAUAUCUUGCUUUUCCAAAUCUUGUGCUCACUUUACCUACACAUUUUGAUUUUUCCGGGAUGACAACAAGUUAGACAUGCAGACUCCUCAGGCUCAUUCAUAAUCUGUAUAGAUAUUACAGGUCAUGCAAAUUUAAGAAAAGGCUAAAAGGUGCCCGUUUGCACCCAACAUGUUGGAUAAUGACCCGGUAAAAUGCAACAUCAGUUUCCACAGCCUCGCUCUAUAAGUUUCCUUGGAAUUGCAAAAGCAUAGGACUCUGCCUCAUACUUAUUUCUACACGGCAAUGAGGAUAUAGAAGAGCAGACCGAAAGGAGAAAGGAAUUUUAAAAGCCAUGGAAAGCUGCCCUAAAUGUGGUUGGAUAUAGAGAGGAGAGUGCUGAAGGCAAACAGCUGUGCCCUCUUUGCCUUUUUGCUGAGGAAGGGGAUUUAAGCCAAAAGAACACACGUAAACGUGGAUUUCUUAAAGUUCUCAGUGUAAUUAUGUAGGCUUGGGAGAUGAGGAAUUGUGAAGUAGAGGCUGGCUUAAACAAAUGAUAAAUGCUUGAGGUGAUGGGCACCCUACUUACCCUGAUGUGAUUAUUACACAUAGCAUUCCUGUAUCAAAAUAUCCCGUGUAACCCAUAAAUAUAUACACCUACCAGUAUAUUUCUGAGGCUAAUCUGAAAGCCACCUGCACCCUUGUGAAGACACCCACAUGGACUUCUGCUUCCCCUCCUACCCUCUGGCCUCAAGAGCUCCCUGGGCUCUCCUGUUGCAGGAGGGAGAAGCAGAGCUUCUUUAUGUUCCUGGUAAGGAUCGCUGAAGACAAUUCCUUAGGCUUGGAUAAUUCCCAGACAUUUGCUAAAAAGCAGCAUCCUCCAAAGCUUUAAUUUGGAUCACAGGAAAAUGAUGCUCCCACCUCAUAUUCAAACACAGUUUUAUCUCACACUGCAAGCUCCCUGGCACGGGUAAAGUCCUCAAUGCCUUUCCUGGUGGUUUCCAACAUCAAGGACAUUUGUUCCUCCUCCUAGCUCUCUCCCUCAGCCAAGUCCUUCCUUACAAUGAAUUGUCCUGCAGAACUCUCUCUUAAGCUUGGCUUCUGGGGUGGAAAACCUACUUUCUGAAAGGGCGUGGGGACCGUCAGAGCAUGAACUGGACUCAAGCUCCCAAUUACAGAGCAGACACAGGGCUCUGCCUGCACCAGGCCAUCCCUGGUUCCUCGCAGCUCCAGGACUCUCUUCCGGCAUCUAGAUCCAGCUACUCUCAUUCCAGCUUUGUGUCCUGUUUGAUACAAAAUCUUUAUUCCUUCCUGUUUCAAUCCCUGUCGCAUAUUCUGUGUGACAAAGCAACAAGCUGGAAAUCGAGUUCUGAGUUUUAUACCCAGCUCUGCUACAAAUGUGCCAUGACCUUGAACAAGUCACAUGACUUAUCUGGACCUGGAAUCUCUCAUCUGUAAAAAGAGGAAGCUGAGCUAUACUACUUUUAAAAUGUCUCCAGCUUUAAUUUUAUUAGAAUAUCAGCUGCUUCCUCCUCUGGUUUCUCAUGGCAGGUUGUGCAUUCUUCUCUGAAGACAUCAUAUUUCAUUGGAGUGUCUCUCCUUACAAAUGUAUUUCCCCACUAGAUUGGCCCCUCAAGAACAAGGAUUGUAUUUUAGUUACCUCUGUUAUCUCUGUACCUGGGGAGGAGGGAGAAAAGGAGAGCAGGAAAGGGAAUGGUAUAGUACCAACAUUUGUUGAGCUUCUAUUAAGAGGAAUUUUCUAUGCUACACAUUGUACAUAAAGUAUGUAUGAUUCACAGUAUAAACAUUAUAAUCUGGAAUCGACCUAAAUGUUCAUCAGCAGAUGAAUGGAUAAAGAAAAUGUGGUAUAUAGACGCAACACAACACUAUACAGCCAU
rnacentral:lncRNA from 1 species